AGAUUGGACGCUGGCGGCAUGCCUAACACAUGCAAGUCGAACGGGAGUAGCAAUACUCUAGUGGCGGACGGGUGAGGAAUACGUAGGAAUUUGCCCUUAAGUGGGGGAUAACCCGGGGAAACCCGGAUUAAUACCGCAUGACCUCGAAAGAGCAAAGUGGGGGAUCGCAAGACCUCACGCUUUUGGAGAAGCCUACGUCGGAUUAGCUAGUUGGUGAGGUAAUGGCUCACCAAGGCGACGAUCCGUAACUGGUCUGAGAGGAUGAUCAGUCACACCGGAACUGAGACACGGUCCGGACUCCUACGGGAGGCAGCAGUGGGGAAUAUUGGACAAU
rnacentral:rRNA from 1 species